UAGCUCCUUUUGACAUUUCUGGGCGACAUCAUCAUGCUCACGCCCACAGAGAUCGAAGGGCCAUCCCACAGAAUCUGCCAUCCAAACUUUAUAAAGCAGAGAUGGUGGAGAAUAAUUUCCCAAAUUAUGCAAGAUUAUUGUCUCGCACAGCAUCCCACCCGAAAGCUAGAUUACCUACAACGGAUUAUAAUAUAUCAGUUCAUUUUUGUGACUCUAAACAUAAAUAAGCAUGCCAGCUGCCAGUAUUUCAGUAUGUGAAUAUGCAUGACCGAAUUUACUCAACCAACCAUUUACAAAGAACGCAUUUAUUACCAACAAAUUUGAUUUUAGAUGUUCCCAAUGUUCCAUGUGAACACUGAACAUUGGGGAACAAUACAACAACUCAGAUCCAUUUCAAUAACUUACGGAAAUGUUUCUGAAUUAGCCUACAUGAGAUGCAGUGAACUGGCAAUAGAGUGUCGGCAGUGGGUGGCAGUGUAGUAUAAUGGCUAAGGAACUGCUCUUAUAACUGCUUGGGUUCGAUUCCUGGGUAGGACACUGCCGUUGUACCCUUGAGCAAGGGUACUUAACCUGCAUUGCUUCAGUAUAUAUCCAGCUGUAUAAAUGGAUACAAUGUAAAAAAAAUAAAUAAAUAAUUAAAAUUUAAAAUUUAAAUGCUAUGUAAAACUUGUGCAAGUCGCUCUGGAUAAAAGCGUCUGCUAAAUGCCUGUAAUGUAAUGUAGGGCAUCGCAGAAUAGCUAUAUAUUAGGCCUGUAUGUAGUGAAUUAGUCGCUCCCUGUAUGUUAAGACAUCAGGCACAUUGGAAUUUUGGAAUUACAGUUAAUUGUUAUGUUUGUAUAUUAUGAGAUGUUUACUUUAAUGUUGCAGAUUAUAUGAUAUAUAUAAUAUAUUAAUUAGCGUCUUGACGCAAACCACAAUGUCAGGUUCAUGCUUGUACAGGCUGCUGUGCAUACAGAUAUUUGUUUUCGAAACUUACAACAAGCUAUUUUGCAGCUUUAAAUGCGCGGAUCACAUGGAGGUCUGUGAUUGGCUACGGGGCUGUUUGUGGGCUCGGUCGAAAAGAUAUGCUUAUGGCAGGGCAAUUUCAUCAAUGGGCGACGUCGACUUUGAUAACGGAGAAGCAGAUGAGCCGCCCCGAUUUUCCUCACUCCUCCUUAGUCUCUCCUUUCCUCCUCUCCUCCCCUCCUUUCCUCCACAUACUUCUGGCUAGGAGACGAGUGGUAGCAGGGGAGUGGAGGAAAGGAGGUGAAGAGAGGAGUGGUAGUGGGGGAGUGGAGGAAAGGAGUGGAAGAGUGAAGAGUAAUGGAUCGCACCCACUGGUCAUGCCUUUCUUAGACUUACAUCCACGUUCGCUUUCCGUCCCGACUCUCCCCAUAUUAGAUCAACGAAUUGUUUUUUAUGAACCUCUCAAUUAGAAACUCAAUUAGUGCAAUUAGUCACUUGAGUGUGCCAUUGGAGUGCCUAUGGGGACCCCUGGAGGACAACCACUGAAAUGCAAGUUUAAAUCCCUGCAGGUCACAAGGUGGAGACAAACUGGUGGCCCUACUCAUUGGUAUGUGGAAAAUAGAUUUUAUAUUUAUUUAUUUUCCUUAGAAUUCCAUUGUACGCAGAUGCAAGGUUUAUGCACAGCCCCGUGUGUUUAUUAAAUGCUCAGAUCGAUUUCAGGUUUUCUGGUUUUCGAAAACAAAAUCGAUUGGGCAUUUGGAAGUAAGCUCCCAGGAAAGUGUUUAGUUUUUUUGGCCUACCGAGCGCACGGCACAGAGUGCUGGGACAGGCCCGUCGUAGUGGCUAUGGCUGUGCUUGGUGCGGCCAACCAAACACUUUCCCUGUGUUUAUGUUUGCUCCUGAAACCGCACUGGGUGUCUUCAGAAGGAGUGGAUUCCGUCGGGAGGGUACAGUGAGAAGUCGGUGUGUUUCGAGUGUGAGGGUUUGGAUGCAGAUAUCAUUGGACAGGUGCUUGUUUUUUUUUGUUACAGACUUUUAGCAUCCACCACCGCGUCUGUUGAAAAAAAAAAAAAAAAAACUACAUUUCAUGGAGUAUUUAUUUUUGUUAUUUCAUUAAAAGUGUUAAUCAAACCUGCAUAAAUGUAUAAAAUAAAGUAUAUUUUAUCUAUUUUAAGAGAUAUUUUGUAUUUAACCAUAAUAUUUUAUUUGCUCGCUUAAAACCAAGCUUGAAAGUAUCACAUGCUUGUAUAUUCCCACUAUAAGAAUAUAUAAUUUUCUAUGAUAGUGCUUUCUAAAGGAUGACUUAGGUAAGAAGUUCAAUUUAAAUGCAAAGGGGACUGCAGUGUGCCUUGAACACACUAUAAUUACUGAAAAGGAUUUGGUUUAUUGUAGAGAACCUAUACAUCCAAAUUAAUACUGAUAGUAUUAAUAGUAGCCAUUAAGCAAUGCGUUUUAUGUGCUGUAAUAAGAAAAUUAUCCGCUGUAGGAAUAAAAAAAUGUUUUUGAUAAGUCUC